CCUUUCCUGUGGCUCAGUUGGUAGAGCAUUGCGCUAACAACACCAAAGUUGUGGGUUCAACUUCCAGGGAAAGCA